AGCUCCAAUAGCGUAUAUUAAAGUUGCUGCAGUUAAAAAGCUCGUAGUUGGAUCUUGGGCCCAGGCCUGCGGUCCGCCGUGAGGCGUGCACUGCAGUCCUGGCCUUCCUCUCGGUUUUCGCCCGGUGCUCUUGAUUGAGUGCCAGGAGAGGCCGGAACGUUUACUUUGAAAAAAUUGGAGUGUUCAAAGCAGGCCUCGCGCCUGAACAGCAGAGCAUGGAAUAAUGGAAUAGGACCUUGGUUCUAUUGCGUUGGUUUUCGGAACUCGAGGUAAUGAUUAAGAGGGACUGACGGGGGCAUUCGUAUUGCGGUGUGAGAGGUGAAAUUCUUGGAUCGCCGCAAGACGACCGACUGCGAAAGCAUUUGCCAAGAAUGUUUUCA
rnacentral:rRNA from 1 species